ensembl:lncRNA
GCUGGACUCCACCCAUAAAAGAAACACAGACUGGUAAAUGGUUUGUUCUACUAAAAAGCCAAGGGCGUUGGGAGCAAGAGUCUUUCGUCCAUAAAAAAGCGGGACUAUUGUGUUACCGUACAAUUGCCAUACUAUGUGGCCUGCUCACUAAAGCAACCAACAAUUUGGCCAUUUCCUAGCUCACUACAAAAUCAGCACCCCAGCUUUCAGAACUCAGGCACCAAAGGAUGAUAGCCCCUCUGCAGAUUUGCCCACUCUUGCCGGCAGUUCCACAGAGUAAUCCCAACGAAAACACAGGCUCUCACUUUCUUCCUUCUCAUCAAGGGAUCCCUGUGACCAGCUACCCUGCCCUCUGAGGACAGUGCCUCCCCAGCUGCCUAUGCUCCUGGCAACCAAGCCUUGCUGUCCACAGGCUUGGAUUCAACCACUCUGCUUCCUCUCAUGCUUUCCAACCCUCUGAAUACACACUCAUUUAUUUAUGUUUUUAAUGUAGUAAAUGGGCAGCUAAAUGAUUUGCGAUUUGUAUUUUUUAUGGUUAAUUUGAAAUCUCGCUCUUGUUGGCUAAUCCUGUUAGUUGAUGGCAAAACAGAGAGAAACUGUUGCCCUUGUCGAGACUCUAACAGGCAUUUGAUGUUAAAUUACAAUUGGCCAGAACAAAAGAAGAAGCCGGAUUUCUUGACCCAGCGGCCUGGAGACCAGAUGAAAAGAUCCCAUAGCCCACCUAAUCCUCACCACGAUGCCCAUCCACCUCGAAUUGCUUUUACAGUUCACCACAACCAUGGUGGAAUGACAAAGCUUCCUGAGAAUGUUCUUAUAUGGGGCUCUCCACCUGACCACCACUUCCCCUGUGCAGGAUGCCAGUUGGAAGCAGGAAUUGAAUCCACCAGAAUCUAUCCAUUGUUGUGAGCUCCAGAUAAAUCUCUAGAGCCAGGUACCUGAGGUUCAAGGCUGAUAAGGAGCAGGGGUUCCAGGAAGCCCCAUCAGCGAGCUUGGCUCCCUGAAUUUGGCAUCCACUGAGCAGCACCUCCAGCUAUCAGCUUCUCAACCAGCGAGGUCCCUGCAGAAGCAUCCUCAGCUAAGUCCAGAACCUGAUUUCCACUGAUCAUUCAAAUUUGGGUCCUUGUGUCAUGACUACUGAACUGGAAGCUGCUAGUUCCCAGGCCGAUAAAGGCACAAAUCCAAUGGUCUUGUUAGCAGUGUCUGUGAGUUGGGCAUGGAAAGGCACGCGAGCACACACACACACACACACACACACACACACACACACACACACACAGGUCCAGAUCAGUAAAGUAAGGCAGGAAAGUUCAAGUUCAGAUAAGAGGAGCAAUCCAUGUAUGGGUUACCCUUUCCAGCUACUCAGGCCCAGCAGCUGGAACACCAGAGCCUUCCUUCUCCAGAGAGUCCAUAGCUUAAAGGUCAGGAAGAGAUAGAAAAGACAGGCCUUUUUAAAGCCUUUGGAAACAACUAACUUUUAAAUGAGCCUCUACUAUGUAACCAGAAUAGAGUUUAGACCAAAGAGGUCCUGGUCUCAUCCUAUUUCCUAGAAGAUAGCAGAGCCUAGAGCUCUGAGCCUUAGCAAUAUACUAAAUUAUCGAUUAGUUUUUAAAGAGGCACCCAACCAUGAAUUAGCAACCCACACCAUUAAAAUGUGGGAUCAGCAAUAUUUGGUUUUGCAGAGCCCAUUACUUCUUACACACACACACACACACACACACACACACACACACACACACACACACACGUCUAUAUUAAAUAUGGAAAAGAAAAAGAAAUUGGAAAGAGAAACAAAAUAUUUGGAUCUCUCUCUCUCUCUCUCUGACUAAUAAAAUUGUUAUUAACACUUUUCUCA